rnacentral:tRNA from 1 species
GGGUACAAAACGAGGUUUAAGGGGACUCAUAAUCCCUUGGUCCACGGUUCGAGUCCGUGCGGGCCCACCA